GACGCUGCUGCAGCGUUUGUCUCAAUACUGCUCUGAUGAGACGCCUGCAUUUCAUUGACACAUGCAGAUGUGAAACCAUCCAAUCAUCUUCUUCAGGGUCAUGAGGGCCCCCAGAGUCAGUGACUUCAGAGUGAUGGUAGAGUUCACCUGGACAGCACUUUGAAGUCUGAUUCCUGACGAGAGCAGUGUUUGUGGUUACCUUCCUGAGCUCAUUUGGAAAAGGGCUUGAAGACACAUUCACCUAACACCAUGUUCCUAAAGCACCGAGCUAGUAGAUGUAGACUUUUCUCCUCUGGGACAGAGCUGCUCUGUGGAUAAAUGAGCUCAGAUCACA